rnacentral:rRNA from 1 species
GCUUUACUGUAGCUUGGAAUUGGGUUCGGGCUUUUUUUGCGCAGGAUAGGUGGGAGGCUAUGAAAAUAAUUUUGCGGAAUUAUUAGAGCCAACGGUGAGAUACCACUCUGAAAAAGCUAGAAUUCUAACCUUGAAAGCCGUUAUCCGGCCAAGGAACAUUUCCAGGUAGGCAGUUUGACUGGGGCGGUCGCCUCCUAAAAGGUAACGGAGGCGUGCAAAGGUUCUCUCAGGCUGGUCGGAAAUCAGUCGUAGAGUAUAAAGGCAUAAGAGAGCUUGACUGUGAGACCUACAAGUCGAGCAGAGACGAAAGUCGGCCUUAGUGAUCCGGCGGUACCAAGUGGAAGGGCUGUCGCUCAACGGAUAAAAGUUA